rnacentral:pre_miRNA from 1 species
GAUUUCAACUGAAAAAGUCAUCAACAGCAAAGUUGUAUAACUCAUCGAGAUUUAUAACUUUUAUUUGGGUCAUUUCUUCAUCCGAUAAAGCGAUUUGUAACAUUGUUCACAAAAUGUACAUAUCUCUUAUGAACAAUGUUACAAAUCGCUUUAUUAGAUGAAGAAAUGACCAAAAUAAAUGAGAGAUAUGUACAUUUUGUGAAUAAUGUUGCAACGCUUUAUCGGAUGAAGAAAUAACCCAAAUAAAAGUUAUAGUUCUUGAUGAGUUAUACAACUUUGUUGUUGAUGACUUUUUCAGUUGAUAUC